CUACGGGUCGCACCAGUGGGGAAUCUUAGACAAUGGGGGAAACCCUGAUCUAGCCAUGCCGCGUGAGCGACGACGGCCCUAGGGUUGUAAAGCUCUUUCAGCAGGGAAGAUAAUGACGGUACCUGCAGAAGAAGUCCCGGCUAACUCCGUGCCAGCAGCCGCGGUAAUAUGGAGGGGACUAGCGUUGUUCGGAAUUACUGGGCGUAAAGCGCGCGUAGGCGGAUUGUUAAGUCGGGGGUGAAAUCCCGGGGCUCAACCCCGGAACUGCCCUCGAUACUGGCAGUCUUGAGUGCGAGAGAGGUGAGUGGAAUUCCGAGUGUAGAGGUGAAAUUCGUAGAUAUUCGGAGGAACACCAGUGGCGAAGGCGGCUCACUGGCUCGAUACCGACGCUGAGGUGCGAAAGCGUGGGGAGCAAACAGGAUUAGAUACCCCGGUAGUC
rnacentral:rRNA from 1 species